rnacentral:rRNA from 1 species
GACGGGGGGGGCAAGUGUUCUUCGGAAUGACUGGGCGUAAAGGGCACGUGGGCGGUGAAUCGGGUUGAAAGUGAAAGUCGCCAAAAAAGUGGCGGAAUGCUCUCGAAACCAAUUCACUUGAGUGAGACAGAGGAGAGUGGAAUUUCGUGUGUAGGGGUGAAAUCCGUAGAUCUACGAAGGAACGCCAAAAGCGAAGGCAGCUCUCUGGGUCCCUACCGACGCUGGGGUGCGAAAGCAUGGGGAGCGAACAGG